rnacentral:misc_RNA from 1 species
UCCUGAUUAUGCCCAUUAUAAGACGAAGGCUAAAAAGUCUAGGAAACUCAUUCUUUUACAUUGACCGGGCAUAGCUAAGUUGUUCACAGUGAAUCACAUCUUCAACGAGGGCUACAGAGAAAUUAACAUGCAUAGGAGCAACGAGCCAAAGUUCACUGUUGCAAUAGAGACGAAAUGCCAGCAAUAUCUCUUCACCCCCACUGCCAGAAUCAUCACCAAUAGACCCCAAUGGAAGCCAUUCUGCUACUUCUUGGAAAAUAGUACAUAUAUUACUCAGUCUACAUUGAGAAAACAAACCACCUCUCAUUCCCCAUUGCCGCAGUUGAGCCG